UGGGGUAUAACUCAGUUGGUAGAGUGCUUGCCUCUCAAGCACAUUGCCCUGGGUUCGAUCCCCAGCACCGCAA